UGGCGAACAAAUGGAAGGCUGUGUGGCCCCCAAAGAAAUGCCACCUCACACCAUUACUGACCCACUGCCAAACCGGUCAUGCUGGAGGAUGUUGCACACAGCAGAACGCUCUCCCCAGCAUCUCCAGACUCUGUCACGUCUGUCACAUGUGUUCAGUGUGAACCUGCUUUCAUCUGUGAAGAGCAUAGGGGGCCAGUGGCG